rnacentral:tRNA from 1 species
CACCGCCGGGGGCGCGGGCCACGGCGUGCUGCUCGCCGCGACGGGGAUCGUCACGGCGGUGCCGCUGAUCUGCUUCGGCGCGGCGGCGA